rnacentral:rRNA from 1 species
GGGUUGUGAGGUUAAGCGACUAAGCGUACACGGUGGAUGCCCUGGCAGUCAGAGGCGAUGAAGGACGUGCUAAUCUGCGAAAAGCGUCGGUAAGGUGAUAUGAACCGUUAUAACCGGCGAUGUCCGAAUGGGGAAACCCAGUGCAAUUCGUUGCACUAUCGUUAACUGAAUACAUAGGUUAACGAGGCGAACCGGGGGAACUGAAACAUCUAAGUACCCCGAGGAAAAGAAAUCAACCGAGAUUCCCCCAGUAGCGGCGAGCGAACGGGGAGCAGCCCAGAGUCUGAAUCAGCUUGUGUGUUAGUGGAACGGUCUGGAAAGUCCGACGGUACAGGGUGAUAGUCCCGUACACCAAAAUGCACAGGCUGUGAACUCGAAGAGUAGGGCGGGACACGUGGUAUCCUGUCUGAAUAUGGGGGGACCAUCCUCCAAGGCUAAAUACUCCUGACUGACCGAUAGUGAACCAGUACCGUGAGGGAAAGGCGAAAAGAAC